GAUUCUGGCUCAGGAUGAACGCUAGCUACAGGCUAACACAUGCAAGUCGAGGGGCAGCAUUGGAGUAGCAAUACUCAGAUGGCGACCGGCGCGCGGGUGAGUAACACGUAUCCAACCUGCCGCUUACUCGGGGAUAGCCUUUCGAAAGAAAGAUUAAUACCCGAUGGUAUAAAGAGUUCGCAUGUUCUCUUUAUUAAAGGAUUUCGGUAAGCGAUGGGGAUGCGUUCCAUUAGAUAGUUGGCGGGGUAACGGCCCACCAAGUCUACGAUGGAUAGGGGUUCUGAGAGGAAGGUCCCCCCACAUUGGAACUGAGACACGGUCCAAACUCCUACGGGAGGCAGCAGUGAGGAAUAUUGGUCAAUGGACGAGAGUCUGAACCAGCCAAGUAGCGUGAAGGAUGACUGCCCUAUGGGUUGUAAACUUCUUUUAUAAGGGAAUAAAGUGAGGGACGUGUCCCUUUUUGUAUGUACCUUAUGAAUAAGGAUCGGCUAACUCCGUGCCAGCCGCAGC
rnacentral:rRNA from 1 species